ensembl:lncRNA
GUUUUUUUCUUUUAAUGACAAAGAAUGCAAAACUUUCAGAAAGGUAAUCUUGACUUUCGAAGAGAUCCUGUCAGUACUGUUGAUGUCAGUAUCAAAAGAAGUUAAUAAUUACCUGAAGAAAACACAUUUCUCUUAGUUAUUUUUUUUCCUCAUACAAAAUUUCUCAGGUUAAUCACAGAAGCAGAUCUGCAGGGGUAUGUACUGUACACCUUCACUUUUGCAGCACGCUGUCUAAAUGCUACCAAGAUUCAUACAGGCAAUUAUAGCAUUAUACCUUCUCUGGCAUGACUAAACUUACAUUUGAUAGGCUGCAAAAACCAAAACCUAGUAGUUAUCUUAAACAUAUAUUUCUUGUUCAGUAUAAUUAUACAAAAGUAAUGGGCUGCUUUUUUGAUAUCUAUAGGUCACACGCUUGGCCAUGUUAUAUAUCAUUUAAAGGAGACUAUAGCAGAUAUUGAAAGUGAACAAGAAACCUAUAGAAAAUUGUGAGUGCAUUUCAGUUCCAUAUGAUUAGUUUUUGCUUGAGAGAAAUAAAUCUCAGCAUUGCCGUAAAAUGUCAUGGGCAUUUAUUUCAGCUAGAAUGGGCUUUUUUUUUUUGUGGAAUACUGGUACUGAUUUUGAUCUGUAUUCCAGUUCUGAAAGCUCUGAACUCUUGAAGCUUCUUGAGGACUUCCCAACAAGGGUUUACUUUCUAAAUGAAUUGCCAUCAAGAUCAUUUGGAGAAUCUAGAUGAUGAAAGAACUAAAAAUGCCCUACUGCAAAUGAAGCAGUGAUCAUUCUUUCUUUUCUGUGAGGAAGAAAUGAAAUUCUAAUACAGUAGUUCCCUUUGGAUGCUCUUUAAAAUUUCCUUCAGAAUGCAAUAGGAUAGUUCUGCCUACACACCACUUUGGUUGGAAUUGUUCAUGAUGAUGGAGACAAUGACAUCUUCGAUUCUGCUCAACAGGAAUUAUCAGCAGAGUAGAGCACAGCAACAUUUAUUCAUUUAUUUAUUAUGUUCCAUUUUACAGAAAUUUUUAGGGUUUUAAAGCUUAAAAAGGCACAUCUUUUGCCUAUUAUGUUUCUUUCAAAGCUACAUCCAUGAGAAGUAAAAAGAGCUUGAAAAUGCUAUAAAUUCAAAAUUUUUCACAUACUAAUUUUCCCUUCUUUGGAUUUUUCAUAAAGACAAAUUAGGCAGCACAUUUCUGUGCCUUAGUUUCCUCAGCUGGAAAAGGAGGGGGAAAAAAGAUGCUGUGCUAACUCCCACAUAUAUUUGGUGGAUAAAUGCAUUUGAAGAGUGUGUAUAGAAAUCUUUACAUGAGGAUAUUUACAAUAACCGUUGCUUUAUUUUGCCUGGGCUCUCAUCAAAAGAACACAGGGUUAAUUCUGGAAGCUAAUUCUUGGAGCUAUGCUGUUGUAUGAAUCUAACCUUGGUAUUAUUCAGUGCUAUGUUCUAAAAAACACCACAGUUUUUUUUUUUCAAAUAGUACUGCACAGUAAUUACAAUUGCCAUAGAGGCAGGAGCUAAGCAAUUAAAUUCUCCAUAGGUGUCGCAUGUAAUUGUUCCUAGCGAAUCAGAAGAUUAAACAGGGCAACAAUGCACAGCACAAGAUAGCCUAAACUUAGUUUUUCCUGCAGAACUGCAAAUAGUAGCAAAUCAAAAGGCUGUUCUCCUCAAUUACCACUGUAUGAGGCAUCAAGCUAAAAGCAGGCUCACUCUGUAAUGUUUUCUAUACAACUACAGUAUGUACAUACAAUGCAAGCCUUUAUGCACUACCUAAUAGACAAUAUUAUACACACAAUUAUUGCUAACUUCCAUUUUACAGGGGGAAAUCACUGGUGAGCUUAGGAAAUUGGCCUCUCGGCUUCCCCAGCAAGCAAUAUGUUGACUAAACUAAGGGAACAGUUUUACUUCCUGAAGCCAGUAGAGACUAUUUAUACUUAAACACAUUUCUUCACAACUUACAGUAUGUUGUAUUAGGUGAGAGUCUGAGCACUGGAUGGACUGCAGCCUCUGCGAGGUUUGCAAGCUGGAGCUUGUGGAGCACUUCAACAAGUUUACACAUUUCCUCUCUUUCUUCAUUGGGAAAUCAGCUACCCUGCUGAUCAGGAGCCCAACUGGGACUUGAACUGAAGUCAUCAGAAGUCAAAAAGCUGGAACAAUAAAGAUGAUGAGAAGUACCACCAUCCCAGUAGCAUGGAAAAGGUUUGGGAAUCCCGGAGAAUGCAGAUCAUGUUCUUUCCUCACCACUGCACUUACGCUUAUAGUACAUUCCAAAGUCAUGGUCAGGUAAGUAGGGAUGGGGAAGUCAGAAUGUAUUUUAUCUUUUCUAUUAAAGAUCAGUGGUUGUAUUUCUCUUUAUGGCCAACCACUUUCAUCCUUAAAACAUCAAAUCUACAUUUACAUCCAGAGACAUUUGGUGAGCUUCUGGAGUUCUAGCUGUGAUGACAGAUACUUGGAAUAAUUUUGCCCAGAACUUAGGAAUUAUUUGCCAGAUACUAACCAUUCAUUCCACUAAUGAAGGCAGAUGGAUACCUAAAGGCUAACCACUUUCUAGAAAAGAGUUGUCCCUUAGGAUAUGGUAGAUCAAAAUUCAGAAUAAAUUGUACUUCAGUAGAUUGAGAUAUUUAACUGGAUACUAGUAUAUUUACUAUUAUAGCUGAAAGAAAAGAUAAUAAAUACAGAAAGCAUUAGACCAAGAAGUUAGUUGUAUAAAUCAGAUCAAAAUCAACAGGCUACUUGGUGCUGCAAACUUAACCAUUAAAGACAGAGGUUUCCAUUUAAUUUUUAUCUCAAAAACUGAGUUUAAAUAUCUCUCAAGAUAGAUCAUUUGGAAAAUGAUGCAAAAUUGACUGGUAAGUUAGUUAAAAUCUGCAGAUUACUUCCACCUCUUUGCAGACUGAUCAUAUUUUUAUAGUGAAAAUCUGGGGUGUUGUGUUCAGGGGUUCUCAGGGAAACAUUCUGGCACUGGGAAAAGGAAGCUGCCCAGGAAUUUAAAGAAAAAAAAAGGCCACUCUUCAUCUCACUUUCACUGCUAAAAUAGAAAACUGGGACAGUUUGUAGUAAGGACAACUUGGGAUAAAUUUUCAUCACUGUAUCACCUCUUCUAUGUCUCCACUCCCAAUCUCAUUCAUUCACAUCUAGCUCAAGUCUUGCCCUCUUGUGUCAACACACAUGCAAACAAUGUCAGUUUUGACAACACAACUCAAACAUUCUUAACUCAGAAUCUCCGGUAAUUUUCCAGUCAUUAGCUUAAGGAUCUCUAACAGAACUUAAGCUCUCACUUCAGAAAUACAUUCCCAUUUCACAAUAUGAUUUUUUCUUCCUCUUUUUCCAUCAUUUUACUCUCAGGACCAACACUUCCAUCACUUGACACUUUGAUGCUCAGCCUACUGUUUUUCUCUGUCCUUUCCUAUAUCCCCUUCCAUGAUCAAAGCCUUUCCUUUGGCUUCUAAACUUAUUUUCCUUUAGUAUUAAGUUCAUAAGUCACCAUACCUCUACAUCUUACACAUGGACUUCCACUGUCCUUUACUUCCUCUUGCUGACUGAAAAGUCUGAACAUAUGGUUAUAAAGGCAAUAAUGAUUUUUCUGUACAGGGAAGUUACAGAUUUUAUCUUUCUCCCCAGCCCUCUACUAAACUGUUGUAAUAUGUUUCACAGAUUUCACAGAAUUGAUGAUUCUGAGAUUCACAGGAAGAACAUACACUUAAUUACCAAAUUUUAUAUAUUCUCGAGGAAAAGAUAGUAAGCAGUAACAAAACAGCUAUCUUCCAGGAAAACUGACUAGAGCAGUAAUAGCAUUGGAAUGCCAAUUUUUCUCUAGCUGUUACUUGGAAAAUGGAUUAGACUUGAGAAGAAAGUAACUGGCAGCCCACCACAGAAACACCAUCAAUUUAUAAGUGGUUGUAUACAACAAAUGCUCAAAAGUUAGAUUUUCAGGAAGAACACGAUAUUCAACAAAACUGCAGAAAACUUUGGUUGAUUCUAAGAACACAAACA